ensembl:lncRNA
UAGAGCUUUCAGAAGAGGCCAAUGGGACCACCCAUCCGAUUCUUUUGGAAAUAGUGGAGUAAGGACUGGGGCUUCCUUGUAAACAUGGCUUUUGCUGAGCUGGCAAAGGCAGAUGUAGAGAAAGAGGAAGGAAGAAAAAAGGCAGGCACUGGAGAGCCGUUCCCCUGGCCCGCAUCUGCUUUGUGAAGGCUCACCUACUCUUUAAGACUCAUUUCAAAGCUCAGCUCCUCUGUGAAGGUGACCUCUCUAGGUGUGGCUGGCGGCUUCUUCAUCCAUGGUCCCAGUACAGGGUCCACAUUGAAUCAUAGCUUCCAUUAUACUGGGUUACGACCAUGAGUUCCUGUGGACACUACCACGGUCUUUGUACCACUGAGCCUGGCAGGAGUACUUGGCAGAGUAGUCCCUGAUAUGGUGGGGGAAUGAAUAAAUCAAUGAACGGAUGAUUAAAUGAGCAGAACCCAAACUGAGGAUGUCUGGGCACCUGGGUGGACAACCUCAAUUUCCUACCUAGGGUACCAGUUAAACAUUUAAUGACAAAUUUUUUAGAUAACGCAACUUUAAUUGCUAAAGACUGUUGCUGGGGGCUGCUGUGGACAUGCAUGUUGCCCUCCCCGACCCCCAGCCUUGACAACAUGUAGCCAGACCCCUCAGACUCUGCCCAGCCACGCUAGCCAACUCCAGCCUGCUCCUCCAGGGCAAUCCUCCUACUGAGUAGCUGCCUGCCUGGGCUGGGCUGGGCUCAUCUGCGUGGACCCUGCCUCUGGGAGUCAUGGCAUCAUCAGACAGGCCCAGGGAAGGUGAGGAUGAUGGGACUGAGGGAGGAAUGGAUGCCCCUGGGGGAGGUCCGGGCCUUCAGCUGGCAUGGAGGCCAGGCACACAGAUGGCUUGCAGGAGCAGGGCAACUCGGAUCCUUCAGAAAGCCUGUUUGGAAGGCCUGGGGACAGUGGCAGCUUUCUCUCCAUGGCAGUUUUCACGUCAGUGCUAUGUUUCUAGAACAACUGAGAAAUUGGAAGGUGGAGGAAGCUGAGAAGAAACUCCCAGGUCCCAGGACAGCGCUGGGUAUGAGGAUGCGUGUCUGCCUGCAUUUUCCCAGGCUCCGGGGGCCCACAGACUUCUUCAUGCUCUGCUCGGAGCCCUUGGAUGCAGCAACAGCUGUGGUUCUCUUUGAGUUUGCCCACCGGCCCCAGUGAGGAUUCACUUCCCUGAGUAUCUCAAAGGGGCCCCUUUAUCUGGUCCCUUGAGACCAGGACAUUCUGCAGGACGCUCGAGCCACGCAACCUCCAUAAGUCCCUUGGAGUUCUUGGGGGACUUGAUGCUAGUUCUCCUCGCUCCUGGAAUUCUGGAGAAUCUUUAAAAAUACAUCUACUUCCAUUUCCUCAAUAUAAAAAUAAAAUAAAAGGAAAUCCGCCCCCACCAGCCUGUGACCAAACAAGAACAGUGAGGCCUGGUCACAGCUGGCAGCACGGACACCCGCGGCGCGGCCGCUCUCCACAUCCACGGCACCCGCGGGAGGCCUGAGAGACAGCGGGAUGCUCGCAAUGCCCACAGAACAUCUUGCCGCUAGAGAUAGUCCAGGCACCCCAGCGAAAAGUGCUAUCAUCCCUGGACAGCAGUGGUGUCACCUGGGCUGCCAGGUGGCUGCCCAUUCUGGGCUAGUUUCCAAGUCCAGGUCAGAGGAGCAGGAAUUCCCAGGUGAGCUUCAGGCCCUUCCCUGGGCUCUGCCUCCUCCAUCCAUCACGGACACUCCUGUAGGGACCUCCGCGGUGCCCAGACUGUUAUCUCCAGGUGAUUUCCAGCCUGGGCUUUGGGAAGAGCUAACAGUUCUCCUGGUUUCUUAAGACCUUGGGAGAACAGCAGCACACACACGCACACACACACGCACGCACACACACACACACGUGCACACACACGCACGCACACACAUGCACGCACGCGCGCACACACACACGUGCAUAUUCACAGAAGCAGCAGACAGUGGAGGUGGCAGUAACAAAGGUGUCUGGUGGCCUUUAGCCCAGAUGAUGUUGCCAAUGGCCCAGUCACUUUGGCAGAGUCUUUCCAGCAGCCAGAGCUGAGUGGAAGAGUAGGACAGCUGCUUAGGAUUUCCGGAAGCGCACCUCAUUCUGAGGAAGAACAGAGGGAGAAGAGGGUGAGGUCGGGCUAGGAACACAGACGCUGAAGGCGGGGGUUCAGAG